rnacentral:rRNA from 1 species
UACAGAGGUCUCAAGCGUUGUUCGGAUUCAUUGGGCGUAAAGGGUGCGUAGGUGGCGAAGUAAGUCGGGUGUGAAAUUUCGGAGCUUAACUCCGAAACUGCAUUCGAUACUGGCGUGCUUGAGGACUGGAGAGGAGACUGGAAUUCAUGGUGUAGCAGUGAAAUGCGUAGAGAUCAUGAGGAAGACCAGUGGCGAAGGCGGGUCUCUGGACAGUUCCUGACACUGAGACACGAAGGCCAGGGGAGCAAACGGG